rnacentral:misc_RNA from 1 species
GAAAGCAAGAAAAGCAAGGGAAAAGUAGACGAUGGCAUGGAAACCGACGAGGCCUCCAAAUGAGGUUCAGUCUCAGGGGCAUGCAUGCAUGCAUGCUUAAGUACUACUGUAUCAAAUAAUCUUAUAAGGAGUCGAUGAUCUUAUUUUAGCUACCUAUCUGUCCUCAACUCUCAAUAAGGACUAUUAGUGUUUGUUAGUACUGUGUCUGUUUGCUUAUGUUGGUAGCCAGAGAAAGACAAAGGUGUUUCUGAAAUAAUAAUCUGUUGGUUUGGAUUUGGUGAUGAGUAGUUGUUGUGGUCA